AGUUUGAUUAUGGCUCAGGAUGAACGCUAGCGGCAGGCUUAACACAUGCAAGUCGAGGGGCAGCGGGAUGUAGCAAUACAUUGCCGGCGACCGGCGGAUGGGUGCGUAACGCGUAUGCAACCUACCUUAUACAGGGGAAUAACCUUUCGAAAGGGAGACUAACACCCCAUGGUAUUGAUUUAAGGCAUCUUAGAUUAAUUAAAUAUUUAUAGGUAUAAGAUGGGCAUGCGUAUGAUUAGCUAGUUGGUAAGGUAACGGCUUACCAAGGCGACGAUCAUUAGGGGUUCUGAGAGGAAGGUCCCCCACACUGGUACUGAGACACGGACCAGACUCCUACGGGAGGCAGCAGUGAGGAAUAUUGGUCAAUGGGCGCAAGCCUGAACCAGCCAUGCCGCGUGCAAGGAAGACGGCCUUAUGGGUUGUAAACUGCUUUUACAUAAGACUAACCGUAUAUUUGCGAAUAUACCUGAAUGUAUUAUGAGAAUAAGGAUCGGCUAACUCCGUGCCAGCCGCGGC
rnacentral:rRNA from 1 species